rnacentral:antisense_RNA from 1 species
AUUAAAACGGGAUUAUAAUGAAAAAAAACUACUUAUCAUCUACUUUGAGCCACUCACUGAAUAAAACUUUAAAAAAGUAGUCUGGCCAAAGCGAAAUACUAAGCCCAGAAAUUAGGGUAAUCCAAAGAAGAACAUUAUUAUAUAAGGGAAUCCAAAUCGUAUAGACGUCGCUUCCAAUUGAAAACGAAGCAGCACAAACAAAAAGAGUGCAAAUCCAACUGAAUAAAGAAAAUGCCACAGCAAAUCCAAGUAAGUAGUGGAUAUGGUCAGCCAUUAAUAGAACUUUGAUAUUUACAACUAAUAUUACCAAAUAAUAAAUGGCUGCUCCUACUAUUGACUGGUUUGAGCCAAACAAAUUUGUGCUAUUAACUCUAAAAAGUAUGUAUGGGAUUGUAAAAACAACAAAGAUAUGCCAAGCCGAGUUAAGUAGAUAAAUUAAACAAAUCUUUGUAUUCAAAAAUUUGUUUUCAGGGCCAAAACUGUACAGAUGUGGCUUAGAUAAGGAUUCUGACUUUGUGACAUCAAAGUCAAAUACUGAAACUACAACGAUGGGAACUGAAGAAAGAAUUACAUUAUAAACUUGGUACCAAUAGUCAAAAUAGAGCCUAGUCCCACUCCAAAGAGUGAAGAAUCCAUAAAUAAAAACAGGAAUACCAACUGUUAAAUUCUUGUAAAACAUAUAUAAGGCCAAUUUACAUAUCCUUCUAUAUGCAAGCCUCCCAUGAACUAAAAGCAGCACCUUUAGGUCCUUAAAAGAUGUUAUGCCAUAAUCUGCAGUUAAAAAGGCCUGGUUACCUUCUAGUCCUCUAAUUCCUACUCCAACAUUGGCUGUCUGAAUCAUAUUGCAAUCAUUUGCUCCAUCUCCCACUGCAAGAGUUAUUUCAUCCAUAUGCUUCCUCACAAUCCUGACAAUGUUACCUUUUUGUGAAGGUGCAAAUCUUGCAAAAACUACAGUACGGCACUUACAACACAUCUGUACAAAAAGCUUUUCAAUUGAACUUAUACUGGAGGUGAUAUCCUCGAAUCUUUUACAUUCUGAAACAAAAUCAUUGUUUGCAAGUGACCCUGAGAAAAUCUCUCCCAGAACAGCUCCAUCAAUAAGUAUUGAAAAGUUAGUUUCUUUCUUUUCAGAUUUUGAACCACUAGCUUUAACUUUCCUUAGGAAUCUUUCACUUUUGUCUGACUCUAAGUCUAUGCCUAAUGAUUUACAGAUACUUAAAACCCUUUUCUUAAUUUCAGAUUUAUUCGAA